rnacentral:rRNA from 1 species
AAUUGACGGGGGCCCGCACAAGCGUGGAGCAUGUGGUUUAAUUCGAAGCAACGCGAAGAACCUUUACCAGGUCUUGACAUCCCGAUGCUAUUUCUAGAGAUAGAAAGUUACUUCGGUACAUCGGUGACAGGUGGUGCAUGGUUGUCGUCAGCUCGUGUCGUGAGAUGUUGGGUUAAGUCCCGCAACGAGCGCAACCCCUAUUGUUAGUUGCCAUCAUUCAGUUGGGCACUCUAGCGAGACUGCCGGUAAUAAACCGGAGGAAGGUGGGAUGACGUCAAAUCAUCAUGCCCCUUAUGACCUGGGCUACACACGUGCUACAAUGGUUGGUACAACGAGUUGCGAGUCGGUGACGGCGAGCUAAUCUCUUAAAGCCAAUCUCAGUUCGGAUUGUAGGCUGCAACUCGCCUACAUGAAGUCGGAAUCGCUAGUAAUCGCGGAUCAGCACGCCGCGGUCGAAUACGUUCCCGGGCCUU